rnacentral:ncRNA from 2 species
ACGCCAUGCGCGGGAGAGUGCGGAAGUAUCCGCCGCCGAAGGAGCAACCGCCCCGGAAUCUCUCAGGCAACAGGGACCGCGCAGGGCAG